GUGACAUUAAAAUUAAUGAAUUAUUAACGAAUAUUGCAACAGUAGUCCGACUCACUGCGGGUCCGGAGCCAGGAGAGCAGCAGAUCACGUUGAGGGGACUGUUAAAAUUCAGGCCAUGGUGAAGUAUCAAGGUGACCGAUGGUCAGAUGAAGGUGUGAUCCAUACAGUCUGUAAGUUGGAGAAGUCAUCACCAAAACUUUGACAGGAAGCAGGUCACAGUCAACAAGUGGCUUAUUGUAAUGUGGAGACGCUGUAGAUGCACUGCACUGGGAGAUGGAUGUGGAGGACUCGGGGCAAAGCAGAAGAUGUCAAACCAGCCUUAAUGAUUCUCUGCCAACAACAAUAUUCCAGCUGCUCUCAAAGUUAGUGUUGUCAAAAUGUUUUCUAAAGUUUGCAAAGCUAGCUAGUUUGCGAUCCUCA